rnacentral:tRNA from 1 species
GGGCGCAUAGCUCACCGGGAGAGCACCUGCCUUACAAGCAGGGGGUCACAGGUUCAAGUCCUGUUGCGCCCACCA